CGCGAGGAGCGUCCGAAGGUAAGACCGGUGACUGGGGCUAAGUCGUAACAAGGUAGCCGUACCGGAAGGUGCGGCUGGAACACCUCCUUUCUGGAGUAUUCAGAGGAGCUAUCUCCACUUAUUACGUCUCAUUAAUAACAUAGUCGACCGAGGUGUAGUCAUACGAUACAAGGAAGUAUAUAUGGACACAUUGUUAAUUGUUCAGGCUUGUUUGUUCCUUUGUCUUGGUAUAUUUAAUUAUACGGCAACCCUAUUUUUAUACUGCCUGCUUAUAUCUCUUAGUUCUGUUAGGUGUAAGGUAAUGAGAGGUUGAGUGUAGAUGGGUUGGGUAUCAACAGACCCAUAGCUCAGUUGGUUAGAGCGCUACACUGAUAAUGUAGAGGUCGGCAGUUCAACUCUGCCUGGGUCUACCGGCAUGGGAGCUUACUAGUGAGUAGCUUUCUGAGGGAUGUAUAGAAAUACGGGGAAUUAGCUCAGCUGGCUAGAGCACCUGCCUUGCACGCAGGGGGUCAUCGGUUCGAAUCCGUUAUUCUCCACAUUUGGUUGACUAAGGGACGCUUAGUAUAAACCGAGCUGAUCAUAGACAUAUUGGCAAAUAUAUUUUAUAUUGAAACAAUAGUAAAGAGACAAAAGAGGAUUCUGGAAGUAGUACGCAAGUGCUAUUGAAGGUCUUUUCAAGAUGAGAUGAUAUCUCAUUGUGAGCAAAUUCUUCUGAAUUUUUACUUGAGCGACAAUGUUUAGUAUACUUAAAGCGUAGAGCAAAUCUAAUAAUAUUGUUAUUAUACAGCAUUAUGCGUUGCAUAUUUCUUACGAGGGAUAUGUGAUAAAGAAGGUUAUAAAGUAAUUAAGGGC
rnacentral:misc_RNA from 1 species